CAAACAAAUAAAUCCUUUCUUCUCUGUGUUCAUAUUGUUGAUGAUGGAGUCGGCGGAAACAGGAGAAUGCCUGUGGAUGGUGACAGACGACUACAUCUUUGGCAUCCGCGUUGAGAAGUUAGAAAAAUUGGGGAAGAAUGAGGAUAGGGAUUGGAAAUCCCAUCUUGAGAAGGCUCCGAUUGAUUUCCGUUUGAUUCUUCCAGAGUCCUGCACGUUGCCUCGCUACUUUAUCUUCGACUCGAAACUUUUCUUAGUCGGUAAUCAAACCCAUUCUGGCACCAAGAUCCACCAAAUCUCCUAUGUCGGCGGCGACACGUUGGGCACAUCUGAGGCAGUAGCGACGGGCGCAAUCCCUCCGCUACCGAUCGGUUUCUUCAGUUUCCUUGCAAACAUUAAAGAUGACGUUUACUUGUUGGAGCAUGGUGCGGCACCACAUUUAGCAAUUAAGACGGGGUUAUGGGUUUUAAGUCCCCGUCUCGGUUCCCCGAACUGGCAUUCCAUGCCUGCUCCUCCAACCGAAGUCGAGUCUCAUAAUGAAUUGCCUUAUGGUUUCGUGCUGAAUGACAAGCUCCUCCUGCAUCCUUGGACCGCACCAGGAGUUGCCUUUGUCUACUACCCCGAACCUAAAAAAUGGAUUAAACUGGAGCGCGCACUUUCUCUUCCUGAUUAUAGUGUUUUCUUGGGUGUGUCGUCCCUUGGGGAUGUAGACGAUCGCAGUGUGGUGCUGACAUGGAACCCGGAGGGUCUUUCCGGACCUGGUGUGAAAUAUGAGAUACACACUUUGCUGGUGGAUAAUAAAGAUUAUUGCAUUCUUCGCCAUCAAUUCCUUGAUGAGUUGUGUGAGGCGAUCCAACCAUCCUACUUUGAUGAUGGGUGCUCAAAUCUCGACUUGGUUGACCUUGGCAACAGCAAAGUAUGCGUUAUCAUCGGUGGUCUCGCAGAAGGCAUUCCAUCCCUUUGCAUUUUAGUAGUUGAAUUAGGGUUGGUACAAGAGAAGGAGCAGCAAAGGUUCUUAUCUGUGCGUCUACUCGUGAAUCGAGUCUUCGAUAUGAGGCCUUAUUUCUUAAAGGACCGCGGUGUUCAAGUGCUCUGCACCUCCUUUCUUUUCUCGCUCAGCAACGGAACGUUGGACAUAGACAGGGAUUCCGUGAAGGAUCAUAUAGGUAAGAAGAUUGAUAGGGUGUAGUCUUUUCUUUUUUUUUUGUGUGUGUGCUUAUGUUGUCAUGGUUGUUUGAUUUAUAUUGGUAGGUGAGAAAGUUCCCACCCUGACUUCGGCAUCUCUGGAGGCCUUUUCCCGGAAGAGGUCAUCCGGGGAGGACGGCCCUUCGACAGAAGGUGAUAAUGUGGUCAAGGUUGCUCAAUCUAAGGGGAGUAGUUUAAAGAGAAGAGAGCUAGAGUCAGGUGUUGUAGGUCUUGAUAAGUACGUGGAGGUUUCUCAAUUGAAGGAUAAGGCUAGAGAAUUGGGUAUGAAGGACAUGACCGAGGCUUUGGAGGCGAAGGAAAAAGAGUCAGAGGAAAUGGUAAAACAGAUAACUACUUUGCAGUCUCAAUUGAAGGGACGCGAUGAGAAGAUUGAGGCAUUAACUCUAAAGGUGUGUGAGCUGGAGAAUGCAUUAAAGGAUGCUAAAAAUUCAAAGGAGCCAAUGGCUUAUGACAUGUUUGGAAAAGGGUUUGAUCGUGCUAGGACUAGUUGAAUUAGGGGAUUCUACUGUCAUGAGUGGUUUGGAAGAUGCAAUGGAUUUUGGGAAGUAGGAUUAAUCUAAAUCAAACCCUCUUUUAGGUAUGCAUUGCAUUGCAUUGUAUGAUAUCAUAUAUGGACAGAAUUUUCAGAUAGUAGAAUUUAUACUGCAUUGCUUAGAAUUUGUUGAAUGAAUGAUUUAUGUCAAUUUUUCUUGGAUUCAUAAAACUUCUCAUCUUUCUUUUUAAUGAAAUAUUUAGGUGAAUGCUAACAUGAACUAAGAAAAAUGCUGAAAGGAUGUCUAUAAUUUGAGUUAGAAACUGUAUACAUCAUUGUUGGCACAUUAAGCUUUAAAGUUUAAUGAGAAACUUUAAGAAUGCUUUCACUAGAGUCAAGCUAAUCAAAUACCAUACUUUUUAGAGCAAUUUAUAAUCAAGUUGAGGUAUUAUUCAUCAUUAAUUUUUACUAAUUCUGAACUCUGUUUAUAUGCAUAUUAUACUUUUAUUAAACUUAAUGCUUCUGGUGUAUGCUACUGACUCAACCAACACCACUUUCGGUUUCUUUCUCUCCCAAAUUCCAACUCAAAAAUCUUCCAUUUAUUGUUGCUGCAUUGUUGAGAGUUCUAUUACAGUUUUAACACUUCUAGCGUCUUAAUUACAUAUAUAUAGUCUAAGACUUUAUUUAUUACAAAACAAGUUUAAUUUCCAACAAAGCUUCCAUUGCCUUGGAAGGAGUUUGAGAGUAGUAUUCAGCGGGACUGCCUUUCUUAAGCAGUUUCUUGUCUUUUUUUUUUCUUUCUUAGUUUUUGUUUAUUUUCUUUUAAGUCACCAAAAAAAACAUAGUAGUCGAUUUAAUGAUCGAGUUCUUAUAAAAUACUAGAAUGAGACCCGCACGAUGCGCAGGGCGGUAAACUUCUUCAUGUUGAUCAGUUCUGUUUAAAAUUUUUUUAUAUUUGUUAAAUUUAAUAAUUAAAUAAAUUAAUUAAUUUUUGAGAGGCUUAUUAGUUAUGAAAUACCCAUAAGUCAACUGUGAUUACUUCUUUAUGUUGAUCAGUCCUGUUUAUGUUUUUUUUAUAUUUGUUAAAUUGAAUAAUUAAAUAAAUGAAUUAAUUUUUGAGAGACUUAUUAGUUAUGAAAUACCCAUAAGUCAGCUGUGCGAAUUCUUCAGUUUCUGGAUUGAUAUAGAUUUUUGUACUUGAAGUUGUGCUAACCGAAUAAUCGCCUAAAAUAUUAUAAUAUAAUAGGUUAUAUAAAAUAAAAUUGUGUUGUAUUUGUCUCAUUUAAUGUAUUAUAUAAAAUAUAAUUCUUUGAACUAAGGAAAACAAUAGAUUUAAAUUUUUUUGAAAAAGAUAGUACCUUUUAUUUAGUAACCAAUGUUGAUAUAAGUGCAACAAUUUUUUUGCCCUUUAUUUGUGUUGUAAUUUAUUUGUUUAUCUGACUUGAGAGAUUUCUCUCCAAUGUGAAAGGGAAUACCUCGCAAACAUCCAUACUCCCAAGGUAUAAUGUUGCUUUUGUGAGCAUGCAUCUUGUUAUUCUGUAAGAGUUACCCUUAAAUUAUACAUUGUUAGGGAUUUGGUGAAUAAAUUUUCUUUAUUUUUUAAAAGACUUGUUAUUCUUAAGAUCUGAGAACAAAAUUACGUUACAGAUUGCAUCUCUCCAAGGAAAGAGCCCAAGCUAUCUGGUGGGACCAAUCCAAGCAACCCAAUAACACCAUUGGAACAAGAAUGACUAACUUCAACCUGUUCAUGUAUGCUUUAUUUUAUCAGAUUUUGAAUACUGAUGUGUUUAUUCCGCUAUUAAAUAAAGUUAGACAUGUUAGUAGGAUUUCAAUGUUCAUAUAUCAUUUUGUACUUUUUUAGGUUAUAAUCUUUUUCAUUCACAAAAUUGAGAAAAUAUCAAGUUUUAGUCAAAGAGAAUAGGUGAAUCAAUAAGAGCAUAUGAGUCAAUAAAAAAAACGCAAUAAAAUAUUCAUGAUACCAGAUAUUUGUGUUACGGAUCUUUCUAUGAUGAUUUUACUUGCUAUUGUUCUAAACUUCUAAAGGCUUUAUUAUUUCACUUAUGGUGGUAUGUUAUUCACUUAUAUAUUUUGGAUCUAAACUUUCUCAUUUAAUUUAUCCAAUUUUGCAUAUAGAGCAAGAUGUUGACAAGUUUAUUCGUGAUCUUAAUCAGCAGUAACUUAAAUUUCAGCAGCUCCCAACAUCCUAUAUAUAUAUUGUUGAUGGCUCAAUAUUAUUGUUCAUUACGGUCAGUGGUUUUAAUGGAUAAUAGCUUACCUAAUAGUCUUUAGCCAGAACUAAUUAACCUUGAAAAUGAGGUUGACUAUAUUCAUUUAGAAGGCAUUUUUUGAGUUCCUCGAACAAUUGAUUGAAAUUUUAAGACUUAAUUUCUUUUAAAAAAUACGGUGUUCAAAAGUCAAAACUAAAUUAAAUAGAUGAUCGAAAUCAAAAAAUUAAAUUAUUACACGUGCAUCCAAUUAUAUAACACUACAACAGUAAAAAUAACUAUUGUUUACAUUUAUUGUAUGAUUGUAGGAUUGUGAAAAACACAAAAAAUAAAUUAUUUCAGUUUAAAAAAAUUAAACUAAUUGGAAUAAAAGUCAUUCCAUAUGCAAUAUUUUUAGAAAAUAUAUGUGCAUAUGGUUUUUCUGUAUAUAUAAUCUUUUAAAUUUUAAGUUAUACUUAUACACCUAAAACACAAUAUAAUUUUUUACACUUGAGGCUUUUCAGCCCAAAGAACAAAACAAACUAAAUCUGAAAAGAGAAACCCCACUACUAUGAGCUUGCAAAUUUAAAGAAAUCUCAGAAGGAAGAUGCUCAAAGCAAAAGGUAUCCUGGUUGGAUUCAAGAACCAAGUUUGCCAACUUAUCAGCCACAUGAUGUACUUCUCUAUAUAAGUUGCCCAUGUACUUGAAUCAGUAACUUCUUUAGGACAUGUUAAAAUAUAAUGAAUCACAAGUGAUGCGUUAAAUGCAAUAUAAUCAUUCUUACCUGGUAGGUACUUGUGAAUCCCAAAUAACCACCUAAAAAGCUUGAUAUAAGUAAGAAGAUUGAUAGGGUGUAGUGUUUGUUUGUUUUUCUUUUUUUUUGUUAUUUUGUGUGCUUAUAGUCUCAUGGUUGUUUGAUUUAUAUUGCUAGGUGAGAAAGUUCCCACCCUGUUGUAAAUUAAAGUGUCGUUCAUUUCCAUUGAAUGUGUGUAAUAGAUUUUUUUCAUUCUCUUUAUGUUUUGUAAUUUUUCAGCGUUACCACAAUACUACCCCUCUCAAUUCAAUGGCAAGUAUACAAAUGUUGGUUGUACAAAAAUAAAUAUAACGGAUUCAUCUUCAUCAAAAGCAAUUCCACUGUCAUAAUGAAUUGAUAAUAAUAGUAUUUCAUAUAUUAUAAAAAAUAUAGUAACUAGAAGUGUAAAAAAGAAAAGAUAAAUAUAAAUAUGAAUAAAGAGUAAUCAGAUAUAUACUAUGUGCAGGAAAAAGUUCACAGUUGAUUAACAUAAAGUUUGCCGUUUGAGUGAGCCAAUUUUAUAAAAAUAUUAAAGUUCGUCAUUACAUUGGACGACCUUGUUUCAAACUCCCAAAAAAAAUUGUAUUCUAAAACUUAUGGAUAAAAUUAUUUGUUUUGAAAAAUAAAUAAUUUUUUUUAAAUUUAUUUCAAAAGAAUUUUCGGAACAAGAUUUAUCUUGAGUUAUUUUUUUUUUUUCGCAGACCAAAGGAUUGGCUCCGUGAGAAAAAGCGGGGUUUGCAUACGAUCUUUCAAUAACUGAAACCCUAGCCUACGUCUGCCUUCUAUAUACAAACAAAUAAAUCCUUUCUUCUCUGUGUUCAGUUCAUAUUGUUGAUGAUGGAGUCGGCGGAAACAGGAGAAUGCCUGUGGAUGGUGACAGACGAAUACAUCUUUGGCUUCCGCGUUGAGAAGUUAGAAAAAUUGGGGAAGAAUGACGAUGGGGAUUGGAAAUCCCUUCUUGAGCCGGAUCGGUUUGAUUUCCUUUUGAAACUUCCAGAGUCCGGCACGUGGAAUCACUUUAUCUUCGACGGGAAACUUUUCCUAGUCGAUGAUAAACCCGUUUCUGGCACCAAGAUCUACCAAAUCUCCUAUGUCGGCGGCGACACGUUGGGCAUAUCUGACGCAGUAGCGACGGGCGCAAUCCCUCCGCCACCGACCAGCUCCCACAGUUUCCUUGCAAACAUUAAAGAUGAAGUUUACUUGAUGGAGCAUACUGUGGUACCACCGCCAAGAAGAAAGAGGGGGUUAUGGGUUUUACGUUCGGGUUCCAGUCCCCCGAACUGGCAUUCCUUGGCCGCUCCUCCAACCGAACUCGCCUCUAGUUAUUCGAUUCAUGGUUUCGUGUUAAAUGAUAAACUUCUCUUCCGUGGCGGGUCCGCACGAGGAAUUGCCCAUGUCUACCACCCACAACGUGACGCAUGGUCGGCAUGGAUUAAACAGAAGCGCGUACCUUCUCUUUCUCUUCCUGAUUAUGAUGUUUUCUUGCCUGUGUCGUUCCUUGGAGAUGUAGGCGAUCGCUGUGUGGUGCUGACAUGGUACCUGAAUGGUCUUCCCGGACCUUAUGGGAAAUAUGAGAUACACGCUUUGCUGGUGGAUAAUAAAGAUUAUUGCAUUCUUCG
rnacentral:lncRNA from 1 species